rnacentral:snRNA from 1 species
GUGCUGGCUUUGGCAACGCAUAUACUAAAAUUGGAACAUACAGAGAWGAAAAGCAUGGCCCCUGCGCAAGAAUGACACAUAAAUUCAUGAAGCGUUCCAUAUUUUU